rnacentral:tRNA from 1 species
UCCUCGGUAGGAUAGUGGUGAGUGUCCGCGUCUGUCAAAUGCGAGACCCGGGUUCAAUUCCCGGCUGGGAGG